rnacentral:rRNA from 1 species
AGGGCACCACCAGGAGUGGAGCCUGCGGCUUAAUUUGACUCAACACGGGGAAACUCACCCGGCCCGGACACCGGAAGGAUUGACAGAUUGAUAGCUCUUUCUUGAUUCGGUGGAUGGUGGUGCAUGGCCGUUCUUAGUUGGUGGAGCGAUCUGUCUGGUUAAUUCCGAUAACGAACGAGACUCUAGCCUAUUAAAUAGACGUCGGGUUCUCUGCACUCGACGGUCUUCUUAGAGGGACAAGGUGCUUUUAGCACCGCGAAACAGAGCAAUAACAGGUCUGUGAUGCCCUUAGAUGUCCGGGGCCGCACGCGCGCUACACUGAAGGAAGCAGCGUGUAACAACCUUGUUCUAACGAACUGGGUAACCCGUGGAACUUCCUUCAUGAUUGGGAUAGGGGUUUGCAAUUGUGCCCCUUGAACGAGGAAUUCCCAGUAAACACUAGUCAUCAGCUAGUGCUGAUUACGUCCCUGCCCUUUGUACACACCGCCCGUCGCUACUACCGAUUGAAUGGUUUAGUGA